UAAUACGGAGGGUGCAAGCGUUGCUCGGAAUCACUGGGCGUAAAGCGAGCGCAGGCGGCUAAGUAAGUCGGGUGUGAAAGCCCGGGGCUCAACCCCGGAACUGCAUCCGAAACUGCUUAGCUAGAGUACAGAAGAGGAAGGGGGAAUUCCAGGUGUAGAGGUGAAAUUCGUAGAUAUCUGGAGGAACACUCGUGGCGAAGGCGCCUUUCUGGUCUGUUACUGACGCUCAUGCUCGAAAGCGUGGGGAGCAAACAGGAUUAGAUACCCUGGUAGUCCACGCCGUAAACGAUGAGUGCUAGUUGUUGGAGGUCUAUACCCCUUCAGUGACGCAGCUAACGCAUUAAGCACUCCGCCUGGGGAGUACGGUCGCAAGACUA
rnacentral:rRNA from 1 species